rnacentral:rRNA from 1 species
CCAGACUCCUACGGGAGGCAGCAGUGGGGGAUAUUGGACAAUGGGGGGAACCCUGAUCCAGCGACGCCGCGUGAGGGAAGACGGUUUUCGGAUUGUAAACCCCUGUCUUUAGGGACGAAACAAAUGACGGUACCUAAAGAGGAAGCCACGGCUAACUACGUGCCAGCAGCCGCGGUAAUACGUAGGUGGCAAGCGUUGUCCGGAAUUACUGGGUGUAAAGGGAGCGUAGGCGGGGAUGCAAGUUGGGUGUUAAAUCUACCGGCUCAACUGGUAGUCGCACUCAAAACUGCAGCUCUUGAGUGAAGUAGAGGCAGGCGGAAUUCCUAGUGUAGCGGUGAAAUGCGUAGAUAUUAGGAGGAACACCAGUGGCGAAGGCGGCCUGCUGGGCUUUUACUGACGCUGAGGCUCGAAAGUGUGGGGAGCAAACAGGAUUAGAUACCCUAGUAU